rnacentral:rRNA from 1 species
AUUGAACGCUGGCGGCAGGCUUAACACAUGCAAGUCGAGCGGGGUGAUGGUGCUUGCACUAUCACUUAGCGGCGGACGGGUGAGUAAUGCUUAGGAAUCUGCCUAUUAGUGGGGGACAGCAUCUCGAAAGGGAUGCUAAUACCGCAUACGUCCUACGGGAGGAAGCAGGGGAUCACUUGUGACCUUGCGCUAAUAGAUGAGCCUAAGUCGGAUUAGCUAGUUGGUGGGGUAAGGGCCUACCAAGGCGACGAUCUGUAGCGGGUCUGAGAGGAUGAUCCGCCACACUGGGACUGAGACACGGCCCAGACUCCUACGGGAGGCAGCAGUGGGGAAUAUUGGACAAUGGGGGGAACCCUGAUCCAGCCAUGCCGCGUGUGUGAAGAAGGCCUUAUGGUUGUAAAGCACUUUAAGCGAGGAGGAGGCUCUUUUGGUUAAUACCCAAGAUGAGUGGACGUUACUCGCAGAAUAAGCACCGGCUAACUCUGUGCCAGCCGCCGCCGUAA